rnacentral:rRNA from 1 species
GAUGAACGCUAGCGAUAGGCUUAACACAUGCAAGUCGAGGGGUAACGUGUUGGAAGCUUGCUUCCGAUGACGACGACCGGCGGAUGGGUGCGUAACGCGUAUGCAACUUGCCUCACAGUGGAGAAUAACCCGGAGAAAUCCGGACUAAUACUCCAUACACUCUUAAGUACGCCUGUACAUGAGAGGAAAGAUUUAUCGCUGUGAGAUAGGCAUGCGUCCUAUUAGGUAGUUGGUGAGGUAACGGCUCACCAAGCCGACGAUAGGUAGGGGUGCUGAGAGGGAGAUCCCCCACAUUGGGACUGAGACACGGCCCAAACUCCUACGGGAGGCAGCAGUGAGGAAUAUUGGUCAAUGGAGGAAACUCUGAACCAGCCAAGUCGCGUGAAGGAAGAAUGUCCUAAGGAUUGUAAACUUCUUUAGCGAGCGAGUAAGGACUUCCACGUGAUGGGAGUUUGAAAGUAGCUCGAGAAUAAGUAUCGGCUAACUCCGUG